AGGAAACGGACGCAUAAUGCCCCAGUAAGCGGAAGUUGUGGCCCUUGACGUCCCAGUAGAUGCUCCGCCCAUUCAAAUAGGAGAAGAGCACAGGCUGAGAGCACGAAGAAGGAGAACGGGGAAGCAGAGUGACUGCGACCAAGGGAAAUAGCGAGCAGAUGAUGUUGACAGGUCCGUGAUAAAAUGAGUAAAACUUUGCGAAAAAAACACGAUGAAUUUAUGUUCAUACGACAAAGCUGGACGUCGCUUUUGGAUCUUGGCAGACACCCCUGGUAAAAAGAUGAUGGAAGAAUUCUUAGUUCCAUAAUAUAACUAUGAAUUUGUUCCACAUACAUGCAAAGUGAAAGGAAGUGAAUGAAUGGAAGAUUCCAGUCAUCUGUCAAUUUGUGGGCGUUGUCAUGAGAUUGCUGGGAAAAGAAUACUGCUUGACCCCUACUGGACAAACAAGUGGAGACUACAGCUUUGUCGGGAAGAUGGCGGCUCUGAUUUUUGAUUUUGAAUUUGCAAAAUAACUUUUUGGUUUUGUUUUUAAUGUAACUUUGAUUGCAGUUGUAUUCUGCUGGUAAAUGUGUUUAAUUCCCCCGUUAUUUGAUAAUUUUUUUUUAAGUGUUUUUCUUUCAGCUAUUGAUUGUAUUAUUCUAAGUUGAAUAUACAUCAUUUAAUAUUUAAAUAAAAAUAUAGUUUUGAACGA